rnacentral:rRNA from 1 species
AUUGAACGCUGGCGGCAGGCUUAACACAUGCAAGUCGAACGGUAACAGGUCUUCGGAUGCUGACGAGUGGCGAACGGGUGAGUAAUACAUCGGAACGUGCCUAGUAGUGGGGGAUAACUACUCGAAGGAGUGGCUAAUACCGCAUGAGAUCUACGGAUGAAAGCAGGGGAUCGCAAGACCUUGUGCUACUAGAGCGGCCGAUGGCAGAUUAGGUAGUUGGUGGGAUAAAAGCUUACCAAGCCGACGAUCUGUAGCUGGUCUGAGAGGACGAUCAGCCACACUGGGACUGAGACACGGCCCAGACUCCUACGGGAGGCAGCAGUGGGGAAUUUUGGACAAUGGGCGAAAGCCUGAUCCAGCAAUGCCGCGUGCAGGAUGAAGGCCUUCGGGUUGUAAACUGCUUUUGUACGGAACGAAAAGCUCUGGGUUAAUACCCUGGGGUCAUGACGGUACCGUAAGAAUAAGCACCGGCUAACUACGUGCCAGCCGCCGCGGUAAAAC